AGUAUAAAAGAGAUAAGAAUGUCAUUGUUCAAGGCUGAGAUGACCUCAUAGGUAUUACACCUAUGUUGACUUAAUGUUUGCUGCUUGGCAAAGAUUUUACAUACCGGAUUUGCAUAGCAUUGUAUGGAUUUUCUAUUUUGUUUGAAAGACAACGCCUAAGCUUGAUCACACUGAUAUUAGUUUCAUUUGUAUAUUAGUCAUGCAACUUCCUCAGCAUAUUGAAUUACUAUUGAUAAGUUCAGUAUAUGAUACGCAGUUGACGUACCAAUUAUAACUUAUUAUAACCAAUUACAACGUCUCACUUAUUAAGAACUAUCUUGAUUGUUAUUUUCAGGAUCCAUAUUUAACUUCACGGCACCAGGUCCUAAAUUUAGUCCAAGUCUCUUUGCUCAGUCAGACCUAAUCCUGUCCUAUAGACUCCAUGACUCGUAUUUCAAGAGUAGAGGUGUUCAACUCUGGUGUCUCUGACCAAUUUAUUGUGCAACAAAGGCACAUUCUAGGGAACUAAUGAUGAUAAUUCUCUCUCUUUUGCUUUCUCUCCUUCAUCCCUUCAUCUCUUCCUCUUCCCCAUGGACCCAAUGUCCCAGAACUCGUCUCUGUCCUACUCCCAGGAGGUGUGUGGAGGAGGAGGAGUGCUCUCCUCGGCCCUCUGUGGUGGAGUGCACCGUCCAGAGACCCAGAGUGGACAGACAAGAUGGAGAUGAUGCCUCGAAACGAGACAUUGGUCUGGAACGACACCAGCCUGGAGAGGAUGGAGCUGGUACAUCACAACACCCCUCAAUAGGAACAUCUAUAUGAAUAUUUACUGAUCCACCGACACAGGUAGCAGACACAAGCUGCAGGUCUGGAUGGAGACACUGGCUGACAUCAUGACCUAUCACAAAAACUGUUCCUCAGACUAUUAAAUCAAGAAUAGUCUGAUUGGAGACACUAUUAGCCUAUCACUUGUGAAUGAUAUAUGUGACCGACCAGCAGAAAAAUUUGAAAACUUACAUUGGAUAAAAGUAGAGACUCAGAGCUACAAAAUGGUAAACCAUACACUACAUUUGAGGAACAAUG